UUUGAGUAAGUGAAAUGAAGCGUGAAUAACUGCCUAAUUAGUGGACAUGAAAACUGGACAGUCUCCAAAGUCAUCAGAGAUGACCACGCUUGCCAGGCAACUUACUAGACUAAGGGUGAGUCCAUUUGUAAUCAUCCCAGCUGGGAGGUGGCUGGGAGGUUUGACCUAGGGCUCAGAAGACUGGCUAACCUGGAUAAAGCCAUUCAAGACAAUCAGGUGUGACAUUAUCUCCAUGGCUGAGGUCUUCUGGAGCAGUAGUUCUAGAACUUCUUGGGGCCACUCCAAUAUAACAACACUCAGGAAUCACCUCCCACUACUGCUGGGGCAGGCGGUGGGAACAGAUGUAGAGAGGGCACACAAUGAGCCUCACGUAAGCAUCAGGUACUACAUUUAGGAAGAGAGAUGGUGGUGACGUGCCCAUCAUGCAGGAAGCUUCUCCAAGGCUGGCGAGAGCAACUUGUCUGCUUUGAGAAAUGCAGAUCUAUCAGGAUCCAGAAUCGGACUCUGAAAAAGCUGUCAUUUCAUGUCUCUAAAACAGCCUUUGAUUUAAUGUACAAGAUGUCAAGAAGUAAAGGACAAUAAAAUAAAAACCAAAAAAGGAGAACUAUUUCAAUUAAGAAGCAUUCCUAUAUCAAUUCUUGGAAAUCACAUAAAAUAAAAGCUGUCAGAAUCA
rnacentral:lncRNA from 1 species